GUUAUAUGGUCAAGCGAAUAAGCGCACACGGUGGAUGCCUUGGCGGUCAGAGGCGAUGAAGGACGUGGCAGCCUGCGAAAAGUAUCGGGGAGCUGGCAACAAGCUUUGAUCCGGUAAUGUCCGAAUGGGGAAACCCACCCGCUUGCGGGUAUCCUGCAGUGAAUACAUAGCUGCUGGAAGCGAACCUGGUGAACUGAAAUAUCUAAGUAACCAGAGGAAAAGAAAUCAACCGAGAUUCCGUAAGUAGCGACGAGCGAACGCGGACUAGCCCUUAAGCUGGAUUGGUUCUAGGAAAACGCUCUGGAAAGAGCGGCCAUAGAAGGUGAUAGCCCUGUAUCUGAAAGGGCCAUUCCAGUGAAGACGAGUAGGGCGGGGCACGUGAAACCCUGUCUGAACAUGGGGGGACCAUCCUCCAAGGCUAAAUACUACUGACCGACCGAUAGUGAACCAGUACCGUGAGGGAAAGGCGAAAAGAACCCCGGAGAGGGGAGUGAAAUAGAACCUGAAACCGUGUGCGUACAAGCAGUAGGAGCUCCGCAAGGAGUGACUGCGUACCUUUUGUAUAAUGGGUCAGCGACUUACUGUUCGUGGCAAGCUUAACCGUAUAGGGGAGGCGAAGGGAAACCGAGUCUGAUAAGGGCGCAUAGUCGCGGGCAGUAGACCCGAAACCGGGUGAUCUAGUCAUGCCCAGGGUGAAGGUGCGGUAACACGCACUGGAGGCCCGAACCCACUCCCGUUGCAAAGGUAGGGGAUGAGGUGUGAUUAGGAGUGAAAAGCUAAUCGAACCCGGAGAUAGCUGGUUCUCCUCGAAAGCUAUUUAGGUAGCGCCUCAUAUGUAUCCUCUCGGGGGUAGAGCACUGUUAUGGCUAGGGGGUCAUCGCGACUUACCAAACCAUUGCAAACUCCGAAUACCGAGACGGACUGUAUGGGAGACACACGGCGGGUGCUAACGUCCGUCGUGAAAAGGGAAACAACCCAGACCCACAGCUAAGGUCCCAAAUUUUGUGCUAAGUGGAAAACCAUGUGGAAAGGCACAGACAGCCAGGAGGUUGGCUUAGAAGCAGCCACCCUUUAAAGAAAGCGUAAUAGCUCACUGGUCGAGUCGGUCUGCGGGGAAGAUUUAACGGGGCUAAGCACAGAACCGAAGCUUGGGGUGCAUACUUUGUAUGCGCGGUAGAGGAGCGUUCCGUAAGCCGUUGAAGGUGGAUUGAGAAGUCUGCUGGAGGUAUCGGAAGUGCGAAUGCUGACAUGAGUAACGAUAAUGCGGGUGAAAAACCCGCACGCCGAAAGCCCAAGGUUUCCUUGCGCAACGUUAAUCGGCGCAGGGUGAGUCGGCCCCUAAGGCGAGGACGAAAGUCGUAGUCGAUGGGAAGCAGGUUAAUAUUCCUGCACCUCGCGUAAGUGCGAUGGAGGGACGGAGAAGGUUAGGUGUACCAGGCGUUGGUUGUCCUGGGGAAAGGCGGUAGGUUUGGAUCUUUGGCAAAUCCGGGAUCCUCUAAGACCGAGCACCGAGACGAGCCUUUAUGGCGAAGUCACUGAUACCACGCUUCCAGGAAAAGCUCCUAAGCUUCAGCUUACGCAGACCGUACCGUAAACCGACACAGGUGGGUAGGAUGAGAAUUCUCAGGCGCUUGAGAGAACUCGGGUGAAGGAACUAGGCAACAUGGCACCGUAACUUCGGGAGAAGGUGCACCCUUUUUGGUGGCUCGUGCGAGCUAUAGCUGAAGAGGGUCGCAGUAACCAGGCCGCUGCGACUGUUUAUCAAAAACACAGCACUCUGCAAACACGAAAGUGGACGUAUAGGGUGUGACGCCUGCCCGGUGCUGGAAGGUUAAUUGAUGGGGUCAGCCGCAAGGCGAAGCUCUUGAUCGAAGCCCCAGUAAACGGCGGCCGUAACUAUAACGGUCCUAAGGUAGCGAAAUUCCUUGUCGGGUAAGUUCCGACCUGCACGAAUGGCGUAACGACAGCGGCGCUGUCUCCACCCGAGACUCAGUGAAAUUGAAAUCGCUGUGAAGAUGCAGCGUUCCCGUGGCAAGACGGAAAGACCCCGUGAACCUUUACUAUAGCUUUACACUGAACGUUGAGUUCGUCUGUGUAGGAUAGGUGGGAGGCUAUGAAACUGUGGCGCCAGCUGCAGUGGAGCCAUCCUUGAAAUACCACCCUGUCGUGCUUGACGUUCUAACCUGGGCCCAUUAUCUGGGUCGGGGACCGUGUAUGGUGGGUAGUUUGACUGGGGCGGUCUCCUCCUAAAGAGUAACGGAGGAGCUCGAAGGUACGCUCAGCGCGGUCGGACAUCGCGCACUGUGUGCAAAGGCAUAAGCGUGCUUGACUGCAAGAUCGACGGAUCAAGCAGGUAGGAAACUAGGACUUAGUGAUCCGGUGGUUCUGUAUGGAAGGGCCAUCGCUCAACGGAUAAAAGGUACUCCGGGGAUAACAGGCUGAUACCGCCCAAGAGUUCAUAUCGACGGCGGUGUUUGGCACCUCGAUGUCGGCUCAUCACAUCCUGGGGCUGUAGUCGGUCCCAAGGGUAUGGCUGUUCGCCAUUUAAAGUGGUACGCGAGCUGGGUUCAGAACGUCGUGAGACAGUUCGGUCCCUAUCUGCCAUGGGCGUUGGAGAUUUGAGAGGGGCUGCUCCUAGUACGAGAGGACCGGAGUGGACGAACCUCUGGUGUUCCGGUUGUCACGCCAGUGGCAUUGCCGGGUAGCUAUGUUCGGAAGCGAUAACCGCUGAAAGCAUCUAAGCGGGAAGCGCGCCUCAAGAUGAGAUCUCCCGGGGCACAAGCCCCCUGAAGGAACCAUGUAGACUACGUGGUUGAUAGGUCAGGUGUGUAAGUACAGCAAUGUAUUGAGCUAACUGAUACUAAUGAUCCGUGCGGCUUGACCAUAUAACCU
rnacentral:rRNA from 1 species